AUUGCUUCUCGGCCUUUUGGCUAAGAUCAAGUGUAGUAACUUCCAGUCUAUGAGUUUCUUUUUGAAUUAAAUGUGUUUCUCGUAUGCAGCAUAUUGUUGGAUCUUGGUUCUGGACCCAUUCUGCCAGUCUGUUUCCUUUGAUUGGUGAAUUCAGACCAUUAACA
ensembl:snRNA U2 U2 spliceosomal RNA